CAGAGGGUGCAAGCGUUGUUCGGAAUUAUUGGGCGUAAAGCGCGUGUAGGCGGCUUUGCAAGUCGGGUGUGAAAGCCCUCAGCUCAACUGAGGAAGUGCGCCCGAAACUGCAGAGCUUGAGUGCCGGAGAGGGUGGCGGAAUUCCCCAAGUAGAGGUGAAAUUCGUAGAUAUGGGGAGGAACACCGGUGGCGAAGGCGGCCACCUGGACGGUCACUGACGCUGAGACGCGAAAGCGUGGGGAGCAAACAGGAUUAGAUACCCUGGUAGUCCACGCCGUAAACGAUGAGAACUAGGUGUCGUGGGAGUUGACCCCCGCGGUGCCGUAGCUAACGCAUUAAGUUCUCCGCCUGGGAAGUACGGUCGCAAGACUA
rnacentral:rRNA from 1 species